UGCGUAGGUGGUUUCUUAAGUCAGAGGUGAAAGGCUACGGCUCAACCGUAGUAAGCCUUUGAAACUGAGGAACUUGAGUGCAGGAGAGGAGAGUAGAAUUCCUAGUGUAGCGGUGAAAUGCGUAGAUAUUAGGAGGAAUACCAGUUGCGAAGGCGGCUCUCUGGACUGUAACUGACACUGAGGCACGAAAGCGUGGGGAGCAAACAG
rnacentral:rRNA from 1 species